rnacentral:tRNA from 1 species
GACGCCGCAGCCCGCGCAGGCGGCGACCCGGGCCGGCCGGGCCUGGGGCCGCUAUCUCGCCGAGCGGCCGGCGCCGUUCCAGCGGCUCGACGCCG